rnacentral:rRNA from 1 species
UGCGUAGGCGGAUUGAUAAGUCAGUGGUGAAAACCUACAGCUUAACUGUAGAACUGCCAUUGAUACUGUUAGUCUUGAGUACGGUCAAGGUAGGCGGAAUGUGUAAUGUAGCGGUGAAAUGCUUAGAUAUUACACAGAACACCGAUUGCGAAGGCAGCUUACUGGACCAUUACUGACGCUGAGGUACGAAAGCGUGGGGAGCGAACAGGAUUAGAUACCCUGGUAGUCC